GUGUGAAUAUGUGGCAGACAUAUUUGUAGUCUCCAUAUAUGGUGGCAUACAUAUCCAUACACUAGAUUACAUUACUUAUUUUCCAAAUGGAGAACAGUGUGAAUAUAUUUGUUUAUGUCUUGGCGUCACAGAUAAGGUGUCGACUAUGCUGCCUUAUGUGUCAAUGUUUUGUGUGGAGCGCUUUGGGUUGCACUAUGUGCAUGAAAAAUGUGUGAGGCCAAAGCUACUUUAAAUAUAACGGAUGCUUAUCGCAUCUUGAUAUGCGCAUGCGCACACAGCAAUACCCAUCCCCCACCCUGGACUGACAUUUGAACUCCAACCACGGUGACUUCAACCGUCACUUUUUGUCAUGCAUCCGACUGUGUAGCCUAAGCUGUACAAACUCUGCUGUCAUCAUAUCCAAGGUGGUGAUUUGUGAGGACUGCUGCCCUGAGAACACAGAGUACAUUCUGCAUAUGCCAAAUCAAUGUGUGCCACUUCCAUAAAGGGGAAAAAAGUUUCUACCUGGAGAGUGUACUCACUGUUUGUGUGGAAAAACUAAACUUUAAUAAAAGGUUAAACAAA